CUAAUUGGAUACUCUGCACUCUGAUUUUGUCAUUGAUGUAGAUCCGACCAUUGUGGAGGCAUUACUUUCAGAACACUCAGGGGCUAAUCUUCGUUGUUGAUAGUAAUGAUCGAGACCGUGUGGUUGAGGCUAGGGAUGAGCUACACAGGAUGUUGAAUGAGGUAAUUAAACUGAUUUAUGUUGUUGGGUCAGUCUUUAUCCAGGACACUGAAAAUAGGCUACAUUUCUUGUUAAGAAUUUAAUAUAAUACGUCCAACUUUUCAAUUCACUGCAUCAGAGAUGACUUACUUGAUUCAGGUCAAAAUUUUUAAAGUCUGCUUACCGACACACGUGUUAAUAGUUUUAAAACUUAUUAAAUCUGUUCUUGGCAACGAUUAUUGUUAAUGCCUCUGUAGGAUGAACUGAGGGAUGCAGUGCUUCUAGUUUUUGCGAACAAACAAGAUCUACCAAAUGCUAUGAAUGCUGCUGAGAUAACUGACAAGCUUGGACUUCACUCUCUCCGUCAACGCCAUUGGUACUUCCUAACCCUUCUCUCUCCGUGUAUGUUGCUGGGACUCUUUCUAAAAAUUUCUGAAGAACUUUUUAAGUUCCUAAUACAUAUCCAAGGAUCCGUGUCUAAAUUUUGGAUCCUUUUUAGCCAUAUCUCCAUAUCAUAGAUCUUAGAAAAAAAAGGGAUAUAACUCUUGGAUAUGUACCCAUACAUACACCUGCAACUAGGCAUGCGUGGGUGGCCACAUGUUUUCAGAGGAAGAAUUUGUCUGUGAAUCAACGUGUCUUAUGUACCUGGACCAUUGACGACUUUCUUUUCCAUUUUUUGCAGGUAUAUCCAGAGCACAUGUGCCACCUCUGGGGAAGGACUUUACGAGGGACUGGACUGGCUGUCAAACAACAUUGCCAACAAGGUAGGAUCUUUGUGAUUGCCCAGCACAAGCCGAUCAUGCUGGCUUAUAUUUCAUUCACAUAAUGCUAAUAGUACAUUCUUGUGAUUCUUUUUGUUAUAACAGGCAUAAAAGAGACUAUAUUGGAUGAUUAUGAUAGCCUAAUUCUCAUCAAAGAGGAAAUUGUCUUUCAUUUUUCAGGCUUUUGUGUCUCACUAUCUUGAAAACUCAGUACUUUAAUCUCUUUAUUUUUUCCGUAGAAAUUUGUCAUUUCUGUCGUGUAGAUUUAUAUUCGAAAUUCUGUAAUUUCAGCAUUCUUGAAUACCUUUUGGAUUGAUUAAUUUUCAAAAUGACGCUCCUCCUCUCAUUCAUUGAAUGAAAUGGAAAUUACUACAUUUUGAAUUUCACAAAUCCAUUUGGUCAAAGCAUAUAUAUUCCAAGUACAUUACAUUGGCAGGGAAUCUUCACUUGAAAAGUUCAAUGAUAUUAACUUUUGAGAUUAACCUCAAAAGAUUUGGCGGAAGUAUAGAGAUACUAUGAUUUUAAGAUACCCUAGAGAUGUCACGAAGUUUUACGCUCGUGGUCUCUAGAUAUGGUCUCGAGAUGGUGUCAAAAAUGGACGGGUGGCUCUGUUUCGUUGCGAACCAGCUCACUAGAGAGUCAGAUUGAAAUUGG
rnacentral:lncRNA from 1 species